CGGGGUGUAGUUCAUCGGUAGAACGCUUGGUUCGGGACUAAGAGGCACAGGGUCCAAUUCCCUGCACCCCGA
rnacentral:tRNA from 1 species